rnacentral:lncRNA from 1 species
GUCCCACUUAAAGAAGCAGCCUGGCCACAAGCUGGCAAAGCCGCUGUGCUGCGUUGGGGUGACCCUUCCUGGUGCAGACUGUUUGGACUCUCCAAAGCCAGCAGGCUGGAACAGCUCAGUUAUCCAAACAGCAAAGAUGACCGCCUGCCCCUCUCCUCCAGGGCUCCGUCCUGUCUCAGGCAAGCUCCACCCUGGUGCCAGUGGCUGGCUGGAAUUCCACGCCAGGGGGUCUUAUUUUGUGAGGUGCUGUGGAAGUGGGGCCUGCGUACUGAUGCCACUCAGCCCCCUGGAUUCAGCUCCCUUUCUAGGGUGAUGGUCGCCCCAUUGCGUAUAGAGGAAAUGGAGGAAAACUUGGAAGUACCGCCUUCCAUACAAAGUCAAGGAUCGAGACCUUCCUCUCCGCGUUCCAGAAUCCCUCAGGAAAUACGCGCGUGCCUUCGCAUCUAGAGCAAGCGCUGCAAGAAUUCACAGAACGGCCAGAAGUUCCCCAUCCCGCUGGUGGCACUCACUGCGUUAGGCGCUCAGCCUCCAGUCCGGGCCGCUUUGGCUUGAAGACGGCCGUUUUCCUUCCUGAUACCUGCUUCUAGUCUUUCUGCAACUUCUGGAUUCCUGUCAUUCUUAUACCUGCUCUGGGCAGCCUUCCAUUCAUUCUGCGAAUUCCGUGAAGCUUUUCAAUAAAUUGCUUUUCUCCAAUUAGCCUAAAUCUCUUUCAGUUAUUGGCAGCCCAGUGCCCUGACCCAGCCAAGCACUGUAGACAGUCUA